GUCGGGAUGGCGGAGUGGUCUAACGCGGUGGCCUUAAGAUCCACUCCUUCGGGGCGUGGGUUCGAACCCCACUCCCGACA
rnacentral:tRNA from 2 species